UACAGAGGUCUCAAGCGUUGUUCGGAUUCAUUGGGCGUAAAGCGUGUGUAGGCGGGCCGUUAAGUGCCCCGUGAAAUCCCCCGGCUCAACCGGGGAACGGCGGGGCAUACUGGCGGCCUUGAGGCACCCAGGGGCGAGCGGAACAGGCGGUGGAGCGGUGAAAUGCGUAGAUAUCGCCUGGAACGCCGACGGUGAAAACAGCUCGCUGGGGGUGUGCUGACGCUGAGACACGAAAGCCAGGGGAGCGAACGGG
rnacentral:rRNA from 1 species